rnacentral:rRNA from 1 species
GAUGAACGCUGGCGGCGUGCUUAACACAUGCAAGUCGAACGGAAAGGCUCCUGCUUGCAGGGGUACUCGAGUGGCGAACGGGUGAGUAACACGUGGGUGAUCUGCCCUGCACUUCGGGAUAAGCCUGGGAAACUGGGUCUAAUACCGGAUAGGACGAUGGUUUGGAUGCCAUUGUGGAAAGUUUUUCGGUGUGGGAUGAGCUCGCGGCCUAACAGCUUGUUGGUGGGGUAAUGGCCUACCAAGGCGUCGACGGGUAGCCGGCCUGAGAGGGUGUACGGCCACAUUGGGACUGAGAUACGGCCCAGACUCCUACGGGAGGCAGCAGUGGGGAAUAUUGCACAAUGGGCGCAAGCCUGAUGCAGCGACGCCGCGUGGGGGAUGACGGCCUUCGGGUUGUAAACUCCUUUCGCUAGGGACGAAGCGCAAGUGACGGUACCUGGAGAAGAAGCACCGGCUAACUACGUG